GCGGACGGGUGAGUAAUGCUUGGGAACAUGCCUUGAGGUGGGGGACAACAGUUGGAAACGACUGCUAAUACCGCAUAAUGUCUACGGACCAAAGGGGGCUUCGGCUCUCGCCUUUAGAUUGGCCCAAGUGGGAUUAGCUAGUUGGUGAGGUAAUGGCUCACCAAGGCGACGAUCCCUAGCUGGUUUGAGAGGAUGAUCAGCCACACUGGGACUGAGACACGGCCCAGACUCCUACGGGAGGCAGCAGUGGGGAAUAUUGCACAAUGGGCGCAAGCCUGAUGCAGCCMUGCCGCGUGUGUGAAGAAGGCCUUCGGGUUGUAAAGCACUUUCAGUCAGGAGGAAAGGUUAGUAGUUAAUACCUGCUAGCUGUGACGUUACUGACAGAAGAAGCACCGGCUAACUCCGUGCCAGCAGCCGCGGUAAUACGGAGGGUGCGAGCGUUAAUCGGAAUUACUGGGCGUAAAGCGUACGCAGGCGGUUUGUUAAGCGAGAUGUGAAAGCCCUGGGCUCAACCUGGGAACUGCAUUUCGAACUGGCAAACUAGAGUGUGAUAGAGGGUGGUAGAAUUUCAGGUGUAGCGGUGAAAUGCGUAGAGAUCUGAAGGAAUACCGAUGGCGAAGGCAGCCACCUGGGUCAACACUGACGCUCAUGUACGAAAGCGUGGGGAGCAAACGGGAUUAGAUACCCCGGUAGUCCACGCCGUAAACGAUGUCUACUACAAGCUCGGGUCCUCKGCACUUGUUUUUCAAAGCUAACGCAUUAAGUAGACCGCCUGGGGAGUACGGCCGCAAGGUUAAAACUCAAAUGAAUUGACGGGGGCCCGCACAAGCGGUGGAGCAUGUGGUUUAACUUCGAUGCARCGCGAAGAACCUUACCUACACUUGACAUACAGAGAACUUACCACCAGAUGGUUUGGUGCCUUCKGGAACUCUGAURCAGGUGCUGCRUGRCUGUCGUCAGCUCGUGUUGUGAGAUGUUGGGUUAAGUCCCGCAWCRAGCGCARCCCCUAUCCUUA
rnacentral:rRNA from 1 species